rnacentral:rRNA from 1 species
UACGAAGGGUGCAAGCGUUACUCGGAAUUACUGGGCGUAAAGCGUGCGUAGGUGGUUCGUUAAGUCUGUCGUGAAAGCCCCGGGCUCAACUUGGGAAUGGCGAUGGAUACUGGCGGGCUAGAGUGCGGUAGAGGAGAGUGGAAUUCCCGGUGUAGCAGUGAAAUGCGUAGAGAUCGGGAGGAACAUCAGUUGCGAAGGCGGCUCUCUGGACCAGCACUGACACUGAGGCACGAAAGCGUGGGGAGCAAACAGG